CACACCUUCCACCAUGUCCUUGGUUUGCUCUCAGUGACCAGUAUUUUGUGUUCUUUCUCCUGGUGGAACUUCCUGGACUAAGCUAGACCUAGCUGGCCUCGGAGAGAAAGAGGUUGAGAAUAUUUCACAGCAAUGUUACAGUGAUGUGGAAGAGUCUGGCCACGUAAUGGGGCAGCAGUUAAAGAAGAAGGAAGGAGAGAUGUGUGCCCUGUUGAAGUAGCGGCUGCCCCUCCUGCCCGCACUUCUAGAAUCCUCCAUCUCAAUCCCUGCUCUGAUCUGCUGUGCCUUUUCCAAGUGAUCUCUCAUUACACUG